GCCACAAUGAAUCGAAUGCAAUUAGCUGUUGUGGCUCUCUAGCGCUGGUUUAAUCGCUCCACUGGACAAGUUUUGCAAUAAAAGCUUGACGAUGCAUAAAGAGUGUUCUGUUUAUUGUGUCGUGUUGAUCGCAUGAUAAUUAUUCUGUCAUUUUUGAAGUUACGAACUUGCCCAGCGAACUUGAUCCAUAGAAAGUAAUGGCAUCUUGUUGUAUGACCUUUGGGUUAGCACAGAUUAGAGAUUCGCUGACGACUUUGUUUUGGUCGCCAAGGGGCCAAAAGAUUCGUGAAUGAACCCUGUUAUCAGUGCCCCCACUAAACGCAGUUUUGCCAAGUUCUUUGAUAUGGAGAGACACGACCAUCAUAUGCUGAUAACACCUGCGCACAGCCAACUAAAUUUAAACAUGAUUAUCAGUGGCCGCUUGUUCUUCUUUCCCCGACUGCCAAUUAAUUCGAGGGCUGCGCUGAGCAAACCUGAAUGACCUUCUGCUCCGAUCAGCUCCAGAAUGGGCAUCUAUAUGUUGCGGCACUAUGCCCACGACCUUGGUCAUGGAUAAGCUGAAAUUUGGGGCAUCUGUUGGGUGUAUGACAUGGUUUCAUUGAGAUAACUUAGGGUAUAUCUGUAAAGGCUCUGUAAAAACUAAAGAAUGAGUUGUAUAUGAUAUUUAUAUGUGUCAUUUCCUAUGUCAACUGUCGACUGCUAGUACCAAUUAUUCGUGUUAACCUGUC